AGUGAUGGAGGAGAGAAGAUGGCGGAAGCGGAAUUUAAGGACCAUAGUACAGCUAUGGAUACUGAACCAAACCCGGGAACAUCUUCUGUGUCAACAACAACCAGCAGUACCACCACCACCACCAUCACCACUUCCUCCUCUCGAAUGCAGCAGCCACAGAUCUCUGUCUACAGUGGUUCAGACCGACAUGCUGUACAGGUAAUUCAACAGGCAUUGCAUCGGCCCCCCAGCUCAGCUGCUCAGUACCUUCAGCAAAUGUAUGCAGCCCAACAACAGCACUUGAUGCUGCAUACUGCAGCUCUUCAGCAGCAGCAUUUAAGCAGCUCCCAGCUUCAGAGCCUUGCUGCCGUUCAGGCAAGUUUGUCCAGUGGAAGACCAUCUACAUCUCCCACAGGAAGUGUUACACAGCAGUCAAGUAUGUCCCAAACGUCUGUAAGUCCCUAAAUUUUUUUUUCUUGGAUUUAAAAUUUUAAAGAAUUGUUUUCCAAAAGUAAACUUGUUAUUUAUGAAGCUGUUGUUAUAAUUUGUUGCAUGCUGUUUAAAGUAACAAUUGCCCAGAAAUAGGAAUGAUAAAAUUCAAGAAUUCAGAACUAAUGUUAAACUUAUGAAAAUCUGAGUCUUAAAAAAAUCUUUUUGUAUUAUUUCUUGUAUAUCCUUUUGCACUGAACAUGUUCAGAUCUUAUGUGGUUUCAGUUUUCUGUGUGUAUUGAAAGCCU
rnacentral:sRNA from 1 species